UACGUAGGGUGCAAGCGUUUAAUCGGAAUUACUGGGCGUAAAGCGUGCGCAGGCGGUUCGCUAAGACAGAUGUGAAAUCCCCCGGGCUUAACCUGGGAACUGCAUUUGUGACUGGCGGGCUAGAGUAUGGCAGAGGGGGGGUAGAAUUCCACGUGUAGCAGUGAAAUGCGUAGAGAUGUGGAGGAAUACCGAUGGCGAAGGCAGCCCCCCUGGGGCCAAUACUGACGCUCAUGCACGAAAGCUGGGGGAGCAAACAAGG
rnacentral:rRNA from 1 species